GAGGUUCUGCAGCCUUCCUGGCUAUAGAAUUCCAAUGAGUAAUGUUCCUGAAUUUUAAAAAACCCAAAGUACUGAAGGAACUCGUUGGGUCGGGUAGUAUGUCUGGAGGGAAUGAUCAGACGGAGCUUGGGGCGGGACCCUUUUUCAGAUUGAUGGGGUAGGGGAGUGAAAAGAGAGCUAGAAGUUGGGAACAACAGGGACUCCCAACAGUCUUUCCAGGUGAGACAGAGGUUCACGUGUACCUCCUCUAACCUCAUCUACUGCAUCUGAUGUUCUCAAUGUGGCCUACAGUAGAAUGGUGAGACAAAGCAUAGACAGGAUGACCGUUUCGCUUCCAUCUCCUGGUUGCCAACCAUUUUAACUCACUUUCCCAUUCCCAUACUGGCCUUUCUGUCAUGGCCCCCCUCCAUUGCUAGAGUAAGGCCACAUGCAAAUAGGAGGAACACCACCUUCAUAUUUAGCAUAGGCAGC